AUAAACAAGACUAUAGAGCGGUAUACUCAAAGGAGAGUCAAGGAUGGUGGCAGCCAUAACACUACUAAUAAAACUGUUUCAGAAGAUAAUGAUCAGCACCUGCAGAAUAAAUUGGAUGGUUGAUCGUUCAGAAAAAGGCCUACGUCAAAGCGGGGGAAUCAUGGUGAACUAUGUUUACAGGGUAGAGAGCAUUGAAUAAUAUGCUCAAUCAUAUUUCAGCACAGGGCACAUACAUGCUUCUAGCAACCUUUGGCACUAUGUUGAGAGUGUUGGAGUUAAAAAGGGCCAUAACUUUACAGAAGCAAGGAAUGCCUGCUACUUGCUCGAUUGGUCAGAUGCAAUUAUUGUUGAAGGUCGUUGGGAUUCUAGUGAUCUAGAC